UGGAAUGCAAAGUCCUUAAGUUAAGAGAGCUACCAUAGUAUUCAAAAUUUAAGCACAACUUUCUUCCUCACCAAUCUCACUUAUUUGCAACUUCUUCCUUUUUCUUUUACAUUGAGCUCACUUUCAUGCUUUUCUUCUUUUCUUUUCUUUUCUUUUCUUUUAUUUUUUUUCAUCCAUUUUUCUUUCUCACCAUUUAAGC
rnacentral:lncRNA from 1 species